rnacentral:tRNA from 1 species
GGAGGUGGCUCAGUGGUAAGACGUCAGGCUGCAUAUGCCUGAGGUCCUGGGUUCCAUUCCCAGCACCACCA